rnacentral:tRNA from 1 species
AGCUCAACACCAAGAUGUGACCACCGAUGACAAGUCCGGGAGGGUGACGGUUGGUAACCGUGUGUCGCAGGUUCGAAUCCUGCCGGGG